CUUUUUUUUAUUUUUUUAGUUUUCUUAUUAUUCUUUUGCCCAGGCCCAGUAACAUGCGACAGUGCUAUCUCAUUUACUCCGAUACAAUUAGACAGUGUGCGCGUUAUAGGUAUUAACAGCCUCUUAAGACUGCGUCGACCGUGUGUGCAA